GCAGUGGUGAUUCAGGGGUAAAGAUCUUGCCUUCCAUGCAGGAGACCUGGAAUCGAUUCCCAGCCAAUGUA
rnacentral:tRNA from 1 species